UACAGAGGGUGCGAGCGUUAAUCGGCUUUACUGGGCGUAAAGGGCGCGUAGGCGGUAAGAUGAGUGUGGUGUGAAAGCCCCGGGCUUAACCUGGGAAGUGCAUCACAAACGAUCUAACUGGAGUAGAUGAGAGGGUGGCGGAAUUUCCGGUGUAGCGGUGAAAUGCGUAGAGAUCGGAAGGAACGUCAAUGGCGAAGGCAGCCACCUGGCAUCAUACUGACGCUGAGGCGCGAGAGCGUGGGGAGCGAACAGG
rnacentral:rRNA from 1 species